GGUUAUCCAAAUAAAAAAAAAUAUAGUUUUUCUCUUUCUUGACACAAAUUUAAGGUGUCACAAAAAAAGCCUUAACUUUUCAUUUGCGACGUGGUUGCUCUUUGCGCCUUAUCAAAAUUUUUUCACCGCCGUCUCUCUCGAACAAUCCAACCGAUCGUCGCUGUUGUCUCCCCAUGCCAUCCACCGCUCGCAGACAUCCGUCAUCUCCCCUCAAAUUGAUUUCUACCAUCGUUAAAGGAACCGCACCGCAGACGAUUUUCGGCCCCCGUCGUCUUCCUCCAAAGUGUCGUUAAAGCUGUCAUUCCUGAAAUCGGUUUCCGACCUCUGAUUUCCAGUCGCAGAUGCUUCAGCCUCUGGUUUCUGAUUUUGACGUUGCUCCAUUUGGAGAUUGCUCCAAUUCCCCUUCAUCAGAUUUUCCCCUUUUCUCCAUUUGGACGUUGCUCCAAUUCCUUCCGGUUAUUCCCGCAAUUCACUUUUUUAGAGAUUGUUUUCCACUUUUUCGGGGUUUGGAUUGAUUAAUUUUUGUUCUCAGAUAUAGUUUAGGUUUAGGGAUUGUUGAGCAAACUGGUGAUUAUGUUAUUGAAGUUAAAGAGUUUAGGUAGAACAAUAAAUGGAAAAAAGGAGAGUUGUUCAUAAUGGAUUUGAUGGGAGGAUGAAGAGAGGGAUUGUCACUACUACAAAUUUGGGUUUUAAUGACGUAAAUUUUGCAUCAUAAAGACUUUCAACGACACAAUUUUCGCGUCAUUGAAGCCACUGUCAAGAAGACUAUUUAACGAUACUUUGAAAAAUAUGUCAUUAAAUAUGCUUAGAUGACACCAAAAUUGUGUCAUUAAUACCUUUACCUUGAUGAAAUAAAUAUGUCAUCGUUAUCUAUAACUCGACACCAAUAUAUUAUCAUCAAUACCCUUACAUUGACACGCAAAUCAUGUGUUAUCAUUAUCUAUACCUUGAAACUAAUCAAAUUCUAGCAAAAAUAAAUUUGAAAAAAUACACCGUUCACAGUCUCAAAAGGGAAGAGAAAGAGAGGAAAUUAAAAAAAAAGUUACAUUUGAAGACCAAUUUGACAUAAUCGUUUCCUUAGCUUUUUUUCAACCCUUCCAAUUGAUCUCAAUCUAACAUAUCCUCUAAACAAAAUUCUCCUUUGCUUUUAUAGGGCAGUGAGGGCAGGGAUCGUGUUUUGAGAGUGGAGAAGGUGGGAGAGUUGUGAAGAGGGAGAGGGAAAAAACCGUGGGAGAGAAAGAUGAAAAAUAGGGAGAAAACUAAUGUUCAUUUUUUUUUUUAAAAAAAGAAAAAGUUAAAUUCAAAUUGAAAUCCAACUUUCAAAAUAAAAUAAAAAUAAAGUAAAAUAAAGUAAAUAAAUAAAAUAAAUAAAAUAAAUAAAUAAACAAAAAAAAAAAAAGUAAAGGAUAAAA